UGAGAUGUGGCUCAGUGGUAAAGCACCUGCCUUGUGUGCAUGGAGUUCUGGGUUUGGGCCCCAGCAUUUGAA
rnacentral:tRNA from 1 species